AUAAGUAGCCUUAUCACUCUGCAACUCACAACUGGCAACCCACUGAAGCAAAGCAGGUGUGAGCCUGGUCAGUACCUGGAUAGGAGACCUCCUGGGAAAAACUAAGGUUGCUGCUGGAA
rnacentral:rRNA from 1 species